rnacentral:rRNA from 1 species
AGGGCUACACACGUGCUACAAUGGCAUAUACAAAGAGAAGCGAACUCGCGAGAGCAAGCGGACCUCAUAAAGUAUGUCGUAGUCCGGAUUGGAGUCUGCAACUCGACUCCAUGAAGUCGGAAUCGCUAGUAAUCGUAGAUCAGAAUGCUACGGUGAAUACGUUCCCGGGCCUU